AGUGAACGCUGGCGGUAGGCCUAACACAUGCAAGUCGAACGGCAGCACAGUAAGAGCUUGCUCUUACGGGUGGCGAGUGGCGGACGGGUGAGGAAUACAUCGGAAUCUACUUUUUCGUGGGGGAUAACGUAGGGAAACUUACGCUAAUACCGCAUACGACCUACGGGUGGAAGCAGGGGAUCUUCGGACCUUGCGCGAUUGAAUGAGCCGAUGUCGGAUUAGCUAGUUGGCGGGGUAAAGGCCCACCAAGGCGACGAUCCGUAGCUGGUCUGAGAGGAUGAUCAGCCACACUGGAAUUGAGACACGGUCCAGACUCCUACGGGAGGCAGCAGUGGGGAAUAUUGGACAAUGGGCGCAAGCCUGAUCCAGCCAUACCGCGUGGGUGAAGAAGGCCUUCGGGUUGUAAAGCCCUUUUGUUGGGAAAGAAAAGCAGCAGGUUAAUACCCCGCUGUUCUGACGGUACCCAAAGAAUAAGCACCGGCUAACUUCGUG
rnacentral:rRNA from 1 species